UACAGAGACUGCAAGCGUUAUUCGGAUUCACUGGGCGUAAAGGGUGCGCAGGCGGUUGGGUGUGUCAGAUGUGAAAUCCCGAGGCUCAACCUCGGAACUGCGUCUGAAACUACUCGACUAGAGUACUGGAGAGGGAACUGGAAUUUACGGUGUAGCAGUGAAAUGCGUAGAGAUCGUAAGGAAGGCCAGUGGCGAAGGCGAGUUCCUGGACAGUUACUGACGCUGAGGCACGAAGGCCAGGGGAGCAAACGGG
rnacentral:rRNA from 1 species